GUGCAUCAGGCGAGAAUUUUUGACAAUGGGGGAAACCCUGAUCGAGCGACGCCGCGUGGAGGAUGAAGGUCUUCGGAUUGUAAACUCCUGUCAUUGGGGAACAAGGGUGCAUACGUUAACUGCGUGUGUAUUGAUAGUACCCGAAGAGGAAGGGACGGCUAACUCUGUGCCAGCAGCCGCGGUAAUACAGAGGUCCCAAGCGUUGUUCGGAUUCAUUGGGCGUAAAGGGUGCGUAGGCGGCGCGGUAAGUCGGGUGUGAAAUCUCGGAGCUUAACUCCGAAACUGCAUUCGAUACUGCCGUGCUUGAGGACUGGAGAGGAGACUGGAAUUUACGGUGUAGCGGUGAAAUGCGUAGAUAUCGUAAGGAAGACCAGUGGCGAAGGCGGGUCUCUGGACAGUUCCUGACGCUGAGGCACGAAGGCCAGGGGAGCAAACGGGAUUAGAUACCCCUGUAGU
rnacentral:rRNA from 1 species